rnacentral:rRNA from 1 species
AGCAACGCCGCGUGAGUGAAGAAGGUUUUCGGAUCGUAAAGCUCUGUUGUUGGAGAAGAACGAGUGAGGCAGUGCUGGUUUUUAUUUUGACGGUAUCUUACCGAAAGUGGACGGUAACUACCUGCCCACCGCCCCGGUAAUACCUUAGUGGCAAACCUUGGCCCGAAUUAUUGGGCCUAAAGCCAGCCCCAGCCGGUUUAUAAAUUUGAAGUUAAAGCGCUCGGCUUAACCGUGGAACUGCUUUGGAAACUGUUAUUCUUGAGUGCAGAAGAGGAGAGUGGAACUCCAUGUGUAGCGGUGGAAUGCGUAGAUAUAUGGAAGAA